rnacentral:rRNA from 1 species
CCUACGGGGUGCAGCAGUGAGGAAUAUUGGUCAAUGGACGAGAGUCUGAACCAGCCAAGUAGCGUGAAGGAUGACUGCCCUAUGGGUUGUAAACUUCUUUUAUAUGGGAAUAAAAUGUUCCACGUGUGGGAUUUUGUAUGUACCAUAUGAAUAAGGAUCGGCUAACUCCGUGCCAGCAGCCGCGGUAAUACGGAGGAUCCGAGCGUUAUCCGGAUUUAUUGGGUUUAAAGGGAGCGUAGGUGGAUUGUUAAGUCAGUUGUGAAAGUUUGCGGCUCAACCGUAAAAUUGCAGUUGAAACUGGCAGUCUUGAGUACAGUAGAGGUGGGCGGAAUUCGUGGUGUAGCGGUGAAAUGCUUAGAUAUCACGAAGAACUCCGAGUGCGAAGGCAGUUCACUGGACUGCAACUGACACUGAGGCUCGAAAGUGUGGGUAUCAAACAGGAUUAGAUACCCGGGUAGUC